GACGAACGCUGGCGGCGUGCUUAACACAUGCAAGUCGAACGGAAAGGCCCUGCUUUUGUGGGGUGCUCGAGUGGCGAACGGGUGAGUAACACGUGAGUAACCUGCCCUUGACUUUGGGAUAACUUCGGGAAACUGGGGCUAAUACCGGAUAGGAGCUCCUGCUGCAUGGUGGGGGUUGGAAAGUUUCGGCGGUUGGGGAUGGACUCGCGGCUUAUCAGCUUGUUGGUGGGGUAGUGGCUUACCAAGGCUUUGACGGGUAGCCGGCCUGAGAGGGUGACCGGCCACAUUAGGACUGAGAUACGGCCCAGACUCCUACGGGAGGCAGCAGUGGGGAAUAUUGCACAAUGGGCGGAAGCCUGAUGCAGCAACGCCGCGUGCGGGAUGACGGCCUUCGGGUUGUAAACCGCUUUCGCCUGGGACGAAGCGUGAGUGACGGUAAUGGGUGAAGAAGCACCGGCUAACUACGUG
rnacentral:rRNA from 1 species